GACGAACGCUGGCGGCGUGCUUAACACAUGCAAGUCGAGCGGAAAGGCCACUUCGGUGGUACUCGAGCGGCGAACGGGUGAGUAACACGUGAGUAAUCUGCCCUUCACUUCGGGAUAGCUUCGGGAAACCGAAAUUAAUACCGGAUACGACACCUUCCUGCAUGGGACGGGUGUGGAAAGUUUUUUCGGUGGAGGAUGUGCUCGCGGCCUAUCAGCUUGUUGGUGGGGUAAUGGCCUACCAAGGCUUCGACGGGUAGCCGGCCUGAGAGGGUGACCGGCCACACUGGGACUGAGACACGGCCCAGACUCCUACGGGAGGCAGCAGUGGGGAAUAUUGGACAAUGGGCGGAAGCCUGAUCCAGCAACGCCGCGUGAGGGAUGACGGCCUUCGGGUUGUAAACCUCUUUCAGUACCGACGAAGCGCAAGUGACGGUAGGUACAGAAGAAGCACCGGCCAACUACGUGCCAGCAGCCGCUAACAC
rnacentral:rRNA from 1 species